AUUGAACGCUGGCGGUAUGCUUAACACAUGCAAGUCGAACGGCAGCACGGUAUGUAGCACUACAUAUGGGUGGCAAGUGGAGGACGGGUGAGUAACGCGUAGGAAUCUGCCCUCAAGCGGGGGACCACCCGAGGAAACUCGGGCUAAUACCGCAUAAACUCGGACGAGAACAGCUGGGGUAACCUGACACUUGCGGAGGAGCCUGCGUCGGAUGAGCUAGUUGGUAGGGUACAGGCCUACCAAGGCGAUGAGCAGUAGCUGGUCUGAGAGGAUGGCCAGCCACACUGGAACUGAGACACGCUCCAGACUCCUACGGGAGGCAGCAGUGGGGAAUAUUGGACAAUGGGGGAAACCCUGAUCCAGCAAUACCGCGUGUGUGAAGAAGGCCUUCGGGUUGUAAAGCACUUUAGUUGGGGAGGAAGGUUAGCAGUUUAAGAGAUGGCUAAUUUGACUGUACCCAAAGAAUAAGCACCGGCUAACUCUGUGCCAGCCGCCGCGGUAA
rnacentral:rRNA from 1 species